GCGCCCAUAGCUCAAUUGGAUAGAGCAACGGCCUUCUAAGCCGUAGGUUGCAGGUCCGAUCCCUGCUGGGCGCA
rnacentral:tRNA from 2 species